ACUCCUACGGGAGGCAGCAGUGGGGAAUAUUGCACAAUGGGCGCAAGCCUGAUGCAGCCAUGCCGCGUGUAUGAAGAAGGCCUUCGGGUUGUAAAGUACUUUCAGCAGUGAGGAAGGCGGGUACGUUAAUAGCGUGCUUGUUUGACGUUAGCUGCAGAAGAAGCACCGGCUAACUCCGUGCCAGCAGCCGCGGUAAUACGGAGGGUGCGAGCGUUAAUCGGAAUUACUGGGCGUAAAGCGCAUGCAGGUGGUUUGUUAAGUCAGAUGUGAAAGCCCGGGGCUCAACCUCGGAAUUGCAUUUGAAACUGGCAGACUAGAGUACUGUAGAGGGGGGUAGAAUUUCAGGUGUAGCGGUGAAAUGCGUAGAGAUCUGAAGGAAUACCGGUGGCGAAGGCGGCCCCCCUGGACAGAUACUGACACUCAGAUGCGAAAGCGUGGGGAG
rnacentral:rRNA from 1 species